rnacentral:rRNA from 1 species
UACGUAGGUGGCAAGCGUUAUCCGGAAUUAUUGGGCGCAAAGCGCGCGUAGGCGGUUUUUUAAGUCUGAUGUGAAAGCCCACGGCUCAACCGUGGAGGGUCAUUGGAAACUGGAAAACUUGAGUGCAGAAGAGGAAAGUGGAAUUCCAUGUGUAGCGGUGAAAUGCGCAGAGAUAUGGAGGAACACCAGUGGCGAAGGCGACUUUCUGNGUCUGUAACUGACGCUGAUGUGCGAAAGCGUGGGGAUCAAACAGGAUUAGAUA